AGAUUGAACGCUGGCGGCAGGCCUAACACAUGCAAGUCGAGCGGUAGAGAGGUGCUUGCAUCUCUUGAGAGCGGCGGACGGGUGAGUAAUGCCUAGGAAUCUGCCUAGGUGGUGGGGGAUAACGUUCGGAAACGGACGCUAAUACCGCAUACGUCCUACGGGAGAAAGGCGGGGGACCUUCGGGCCUCGCGCCAUUAGAUGAGCCUAGGUCGGAUUAGCUAGUUGGUGAGUAAUGCUCACCAAGGCGACGAUCCGUAACUGGUC
rnacentral:rRNA from 1 species